rnacentral:rRNA from 1 species
CAGUAGCCGCGGGUAAUACGAAGGGUGCAAGCGUUACUCGGAAUUACUGGGCGUAAAGCGUGUGUAGGUGGUUGUUUAAGUCUGUCGUGAAAGCCCUGGGCUCAACCUGGGAAUUGCGAUGGAUACUGGGCGACUAGAGUGCGGUAGAGGAUAGUGGAAUUUCCGGUGUAGCAGUGAAAUGCGUAGAGAUCGGAAGGAACAUCUGUGGCGAAGGCGACUAUCUGGGCCAACACUGACACUGAGACACGAAAGCGUGGGGAGCAAACAGGAUUAGAUACCCCAGUAGUCCCUGUCUCUUAUA